rnacentral:rRNA from 1 species
AGUGAACGCUGGCGGUAGGCCUAACACAUGCAAGUCGAACGGCAGCACAGUGAGAGCUUGCUCUUACGGGUGGCGAGUGGCGGACGGGUGAGGAAUACAUCGGAAUCUACUUUUUCGUGGGGGAUAACGUAGGGAAACUUACGCUAAUACCGCAUACGACCUACGGGUGAAAGCAGGGGAUCUUCGGACCUUGCGCGAUUGAAUGAGCCGAUGUCGGAUUAGCUAGUUGGCGGGGUAAAGGCCCACCAAGGCGACGAUCCGUAGCUGGUCUGAGAGGAUGAUCAGCCACACUGGAACUGAGACACGGUCCAGACUCCUACGGGAGGCAGCAGUGGGGAAUAUUGGACAAUGGGCGCAAGCCUGAUCCAGCCAUACCGCGUGGGUGAAGAAGGCCUUCGGGUUGUAAAGCCCUUUUGUUGGGAAAGAAAAGCAGCAGGUUAAUACCCCACUGUUCUGACGGUACCCAAAGAAUAAGCACCGGCUAACUUCGUG